GACGAACGCUGGCGGCGCGCCUAACACAUGCAAGUCGAACGAGUGAGAGAGAGCUUGCUUUCUCGAGCGAGUGGCGAACGGGUGAGUAACGCGUGAGGAACCUGCCUCAAAGAGGGGGACAACAGUUGGAAACGACUGCUAAUACCGCAUAAGCCCACGGUGCCGCAUGGCACAGAGGGAAAAGGAGCAAUCCGCUUUGAGAUGGCCUCGCGUCCGAUUAGCUAGUUGAUGAGGUAACGGCCCACCAAGGCAACGAUCGGUAGCCGGACUGAGAGGUUGAACGGCCACAUUGGGACUGAGACACGGCCCAGACUCCUACGGGAGGCAGCAGUGGGGAAUAUUGCACAAUGGGGGAAACCCUGAUGCAGCGACGCCGCGUGGAGGAAGAAGGUCUUCGGAUUGUAAACUCCUGUUGUUGGGGAAGAUAAUGACGGUACCCAACAAGGAAGUGACGGCUAACUACGUGCCAGCAGCCGCGGUAAAACGUAGGUCACAAGCGUUGUCCGGAAUUACUGGGUGUAAAGGGAGCGCAGGCGGGAAGACAAGUUGGAAGUGAAAUCUAUGGGCUCAACCCAUAAACUGCUUUCAAAACUGUUUUUCUUGAGUAGUGCAGAGGUAGGCGGAAUUCCCGGUGUAGCGGUGGAAUGCGUAGAUAUCGGGAGGAACACCAGUGGCGAAGGCGGCCUACUGGGCACCAACUGACGCUGAGGCUCGAAAGUGUGGGUAGCAAACAGGAUUAGAUACCUGGGUAGUCCACACCGUAAACGAUGAUUACUAGGUGUUGGAGGAUUGACCCCUUCAGUGCCGCAGUUAACACAAUAAGUAAUCCACCUGGGGAGUACGACCGCAAGGUUGAAACUCAAAGGAAUUGACGGGGGCCCGCACAAGCAGUGGAGUAUGUGGUUUAAUUCGACGCAACGCGAAGAACCUUACCAAGUCUUGACAUCCCUUGACAGGCAUAGAAAUAUGUAUUCUCUUCGGAGCAAGGAGACAGGUGGUGCAUGGCUGUCGUCAGCUCGUGUCGUGAGAUGUUGGGUUAAGUCCCGCAACGAGCGCAACCCUUAUGGUCAGUUACUACGCAAGAGGACUCUGGCCAGACUGCCGUUGACAAAACGGAGGAAGGUGGGGAUGACGUCAAAUCAUCAUGCCCUUUAUGACUUGGGCUACACACGUACUACAAUGGCGUUAAACAAAGAGAAGCAAGACCGCGAGGUGAGCAAAACUCAGAAACAACGUCCCAGUUCGGACUGCAGGCUGCAACUCGCCUGCACGAAGUCGGAAUUGCUAGUAAUCGUGGAUCAGCAUGCCACGGUGAAUACGUUCCCGGGCCUUGCACA
rnacentral:rRNA from 1 species